rnacentral:tRNA from 1 species
UCCCCAGUAGCUCAAUGGCAGAGCAAUCGGCUGUUAAUCGAGUUGUUGUAGGUUCGAGUCCUACAUGGGGAGCCA